AUACGUAGGGGGCGAGCGUUGUCCGGAAUUACUGGGCGUAAAGGGCGCGUAGGCGGCCUUUUAAGUCAGAUGUGAAACCCCCGGGCUUAACCUGGGGAUGGCAUUUGAAACUGGGAGGCUUGAGUGCAGGAGAGGAAAGUGGAAUUCCUAGUGUAGCGGUGAAAUGCGUAGAGAUUAGGAGGAACACCAGUGGCGAAGGCGACUUUCUGGACUGUAACUGACGCUGAGGCGCGAAAGCGUGGGGAGCAAACAGGAUUAGAUACCCUGGUAGUCCACGCCGUAAACGAUGGAUACUAGGUGUAGGAGGUAUCGACCCCUUCUGUGCCGGAGUAAACACAAUAAGUAUCCCGCCUGGGGAGUACGGCCGCAAGGUUGAA
rnacentral:rRNA from 1 species